rnacentral:rRNA from 2 species
GAUCAAUAUUUCGGUCAUGCCGUUAGUAUGCACUGUUAUCAUUGAUUUCUCACCUUCUAAAGAACCGUAAUGCCAUUAAUUUGGUGUUACGGGGAAUUAGGACUGUUACCUUGAAAAAUUAGAGUGUUUAAAGCAGGCUCACGCUUGGAUACAUUAGCAUGGAAUAAUGAAAUAGGACAUCCGAUUCUAUUUUGUUGGUUUCUAGGAUCGAUGUAAUGAUUAAUAGGGAUAGUUGGG